rnacentral:rRNA from 1 species
UUUAGAGGAAGUAAAAGUCGUAACAAGGUCUCCGUAGGUGAACCUGCGGAGGGAUCAUUACACAAAUAUGAAGGCGGGCUGGAACCUCUCGGGGUUACAGCCUUGCUGAAUUAUUCACCCUUGUCUUUUGCGUACUUCUUGUUUCCUUGGUGGGUUCGCCCACCACUAGGACAAACAUAAACCUUUUGUAAUUGCAAUCAGCGUCAGUAACAAAUUAAUAAUUACAACUUUCAACAACGGAUCUCUUGGUUCUGGCAUCGAUGAAGAACGCAGCGAAAUGCGAUAAGUAGUGUGAAUUGCAGAAUUCAGUGAAUCAUCGAAUCUUUGAACGCACAUUGCGCCCUUUGGUAUUCCAAAGGGCAUGCCUGUUCGAGCGUCAUUUGUACCCUCAAGCUUUGCUUGGUGUUGGGCGUCUUGUCUCUAGCUUUGCUGGAGACUCGCCUUAAAGUAAUUGGCAGCCGGCCUACUGGUUUCGGAGCGCAGCACAAGUCGCACUCUCUAUCAGCAAAGGUCUAGCAUCCAUUAAGCCUUUUUUUCAACUUUUGACCUCGGAUCAGGUAGGGAUACCCGCUGAACUUAAGCAUAUCAAUAAG